AGAAAACCUGCAUCUUGGGGCAUUGCCUCAGUAUUACUUGCGUCAAAGAAGGGAACUUGAAUAUGUGCUCUGCAGAGCAAAAGCGUACAAGGCUUGGCAAACAAUGAAUUCCCAAACUUUUUAAUUUGCAAAAGAUGAUAUCCUUUUCAUUUGCAACUAUUUCUGUCAACCCAUCACAUCCUUUUAUACCUAGUUCUGUGAGUUGCACCAGACUUUUUGCUGCAGAGCAUGUAACUAAGCUUGACAAUCCACUGCAAUUCUCUAUAUCCAAAUUUGUUAGAUUUUGGAAAGAAGCAAAGGAUGGCGCUAAACUGAUCAAAUUAUCACAUCCCUUUACUUUCAAAGUUUCAAGAUUUUGAAGCACUUGGUCCAACUGAGAGUGUUGGUUCCAUAUGUACUUUAGAUCAGGAAGAAGAUCCAACUCUAAGUAUCGUAUCUGUGCAAGAGAACUUGCAUGUUUCUCCUUAUCAACAAGUCCUUCAUAAGGGAACAACUCUUCGAAAUGACUACACCAUAUAACAAGUUUUUCCAUAUUGUAGAAUAAUUGGAGAAAAUCAAAUGGAAAAAUUGCAGAUUUGUCAUGAAAGUAAUUUAGUUGCACAACUUUUAGUUUGUGAAAGACGUCUGCUGGAAAAUGUCCUUCCAAAAUCAUUUUGGCAUGCUUGACUAUCAACGAUAAUAUCUCUAAGUUGGGGAUGAUCUGGAAACCAAUCAAACAAAAGAAAUAGUUGUGAUGCAUAGCAACUUAAUUGGGUAGACAUGUCACAAUUAGAAACUUUCUAUUGAAAAUAAAGUUCAUUAUGACAAGACUCAUGUGCAGAUAUCCUGCAAAAUUUGGGUUAAGGAAUACAUACCUUAUUAGGUGAGAAUAGUGGUUGUGGAAUUUGAAUCUCAAGUUGGCUCUCCAUAUGUGUUUCUUGCAACCUCUUAGUUUGUGAUGCAAAAAUCUCCAACCCUUCACAUCUAGCAGUCUUUCUAGCAAUGAACAGUCUAAGAUGUGAACUCCUGAGUAGAAACAUUUCAGUUCUUGUAAUCUUUGAAGUUCCAAAGACUUUAGUCCAGGAAAUACAAAUCUAGGAGUUGCUUCUCUUCCUUCUUUCUUUGCAACGAGUUCCUCUACUUCACAACCAUCUAUAUUAAAUGUUUCUAGUUGUGGGAGAUUUUUAGCUAUUGAAGCUGGG
rnacentral:misc_RNA from 1 species